CUUGUUGGUGGGGUAAUGGCCUACCAAGGCGACGACGGGUAGCCGGCCUGAGAGGGCGACCGGCCACACUGGGACUGAGACACGGCCCAGACUCCUACGGGAGGCAGCAGUGGGGAAUAUUGCACAAUGGGCGAAAGCCUGAUGCAGCGACGCCGCGUGAGGGAUGACGGCCUUCGGGUUGUAAACCUCUUUCAGCAGGGAAGAAGCGAGAGUGACGGUACCUGCAGAAGAAGCGCCGGCUAACUACGUGCCAGCAGCCGCGGUAAUACGUAGGGCGCAAGCGUUGUCCGGAAUUAUUGGGCGUAAAGAGCUCGUAGGCGGCUUGUCACGUCGGGUGUGAAAGCCCGGGGCUUAACCCCGGGUCUGCAUCCGAUACGGGCAGGCUAGAGUGUGGUAGGGGAGAUCGGAAUUCCUGGUGUAGCGGUGAAAUGCGCAGAUAUCAGGAGGAACACCGGUGGCGAAAGCGAGAUCUCUGGGCCAUUACUGACUCUGAGGAUCGAAAGCUCUGGGUUA
rnacentral:rRNA from 1 species